UGUAAGUUUACAUAGUCCCAGG
rnacentral:miRNA from 9 species